AAAAUGCGAUAAGCAAUGUGAAUUGCAGAAUUCAGUGAAUCAUCGAAUCUUUGAACGCACAUUGCGCCCGCCAGUAUUCUGGCGGGCAUGCCUGUUCGAGCGUCAUUUCAACCCUCAAGCCCCCGGGUUUGGUGUUGGGGAUCGGGCUGCGGUUCUACCGCGUCCCGGCCCCGAAAUCUAGUGGCGGUCUCGCUGCAGCCUCCAUUGCGUAGUAGCUAACACCUCGCAACUGGAACGCGGCGCGGCCAAGCCGUUAAACCCCCAACUUCUGAAUGUUGACCUCGGAUCAGGUAGGAAUACCCGCUGAACUUAAGC
rnacentral:misc_RNA from 1 species